UUUCUGAUCCUACGAUUUUAGCCUUGUACUUCUGUGAAUUUCACUGUCGUGUGUUCCUAUGUAUUACUCAGUGUAUUGAAAUCCCCAUGUAUAAGUAAACAGAUCAUAGAAAAGCAGGCUGCGCCGUAGCCUAGGAUCAGAAGCCAUCGAGCCGUAUACGAGGACAUUUCAUUAAUUAACAAUUAAUAAUACAAUAAUGAAGAUCUUAUUCGUUUUAUUCUUGUGUUUCGUACUGGUUGUGGCACGCUACCCGUUCGACGAUUACGAACAUGAUGAAUGGUUCCGCCGGUAUUUUUUCACGUCGCCUCGAAUAAUGAGUUUAUACUAUCGAAGUAACACACCAAAACCCAUGAAGAAUUAAAGUACCUACACAGUAUAAUACAAUGCAAGAGACUAUGCAAGACUCUACUUCAUCAGCCCGAAGACGUUUAUAUUUUAUGUAGAAUAACGACAUCUAUGUUUUAAUUCGUGUAACUAAAAUGAAAUAAAGGAAUAUUUUUGUGUCUUUAA